AUGCAAGUCGAGCGGAUGACGGGGGCUUGCUCCUUGAUUCAGCGGCGGACGGGUGAGUAAUGCCUAGGAAUCUGCCUGGUAGUGGGGGACAACGUUUCGAAAGGAACGCUAAUACCGCAUACGUCCUACGGGAGAAAGCAGGGGACCUUCGGGCCUUGCGCUAUCAGAUGAGCCUAGGUCGGAUUAGCUAGUUGGUGGGGUAAUGGCUCACCAAGGCGACGAUCCGUAACUGGUCUGAGAGGAUGAUCAGUCACACUGGAACUGAGACACGGUCCAGACUCCUACGGGAGGCAGCAGUGGGGAAUAUUGGACAAUGGGCGAAAGCCUGAUCCAGCCAUGCCGCGUGUGUGA
rnacentral:rRNA from 1 species